UACGUAGGGUGCAAGCGUUGUCCGGAAUUAUUGGGCGUAAAGGGCUUGUAGGCGGUCCAUCGCGUCGGGAGUGAAAAGCUGGGGCUCAACCCCAGUCCUGCUUUCGAUACGGGUGGACUAGAGGUAUGCAGGGGAGAACGGAAUUCCUGGUGUAGCGGUGAAAUGCGCAGAUAUCAGGAGGAACACCGGUGGCGAAGGCGGUUCUCUGGGCAUUACCUGACGCUGAGGCACGAAAGCGUGGGGAGCAAACAGG
rnacentral:rRNA from 1 species